GGUUAAGCGACUAAGCGUACACGGUGGAUGCCCUGGCAGUCAGAGGCGAUGAAGGACGUGCUAAUCUGCGAUAAGCGUCGGUAAGGUGAUAUGAACCGUUAUAACCGGCGAUUUCCGAAUGGGGAAACCCAGUGUGUUUCGACACACUAUCAUUAACUGAAUCCAUAGGUUAAUGAGGCGAACCGGGGGAACUGAAACAUCUAAGUACCCCGAGGAAAAGAAAUCAACCGAGAUUCCCCCAGUAGCGGCGAGCGAACGGGGAGCAGCCCAGAGCCUGAAUCAGUGUGUGUGUUAGUGGAAGCGUCUGGAAAGGCGCGCGAUACAGGGUGACAGCCCCGUACACAAAAAUGCACAUGCUGUGAGCUCGAUGAGUAGGGCGGGACACGUGGUAUCCUGUCUGAAUAUGGGGGGACCAUCCUCCAAGGCUAAAUACUCCUGACUGACCGAUAGUGAACCAGUACCGUGAGGGAAAGGCGAAAAGAACCCCGGCGAGGGGAGUGAAAAAGAACCUGAAACCGUGUACGUACAAGCAGUGGGAGCCUCUUUAUGGGGUGACUGCGUACCUUUUGUAUAAUGGGUCAGCGACUUAUAUUCUGUAGCAAGGUUAACCGAAUAGGGGAGCCGAAGGGAAACCGAGUCUUAACUGGGCGUUAAGUUGCAGGGUAUAGACCCGAAACCCGGUGAUCUAGCCAUGGGCAGGUUGAAGGUUGGGUAACACUAACUGGAGGACCGAACCGACUAAUGUUGAAAAAUUAGCGGAUGACUUGUGGCUGGGGGUGAAAGGCCAAUCAAACCGGGAGAUAGCUGGUUCUCCCCGAAAGCUAUUUAGGUAGCGCCUCGUGAACUCAUCUCCGGGGGUAGAGCACUGUUUCGGCAAGGGGGUCAUCCCGACUUACCAACCCGAUGCAAACUGCGAAUACCGGAGAAUGUUAUCACGGGAGACACACGGCGGGUGCUAACGUCCGUCGUGAAGAGGGAAACAACCCAGACCGCCAGCUAAGGUCCCAAAGUCAUGGUUAAGUGGGAAACGAUGUGGGAAGGCCCAGACAGCCAGGAUGUUGGCUUAGAAGCAGCCAUCAUUUAAAGAAAGCGUAAUAGCUCACUGGUCGAGUCGGCCUGCGCGGAAGAUGUAACGGGGCUAAACCAUGCACCGAAGCUGCGGCAGCGACGCUUAUGCGUUGUUGGGUAGGGGAGCGUUCUGUAAGCCUGUGAAGGUGUACUGUGAGGUAUGCUGGAGGUAUCAGAAGUGCGAAUGCUGACAUAAGUAACGAUAAAGCGGGUGAAAAGCCCGCUCGCCGGAAGACCAAGGGUUCCUGUCCAACGUUAAUCGGGGCAGGGUGAGUCGACCCCUAAGGCGAGGCCGAAAGGCGUAGUCGAUGGGAAACAGGUUAAUAUUCCUGUACUUGGUGUUACUGCGAAGGGGGGACGGAGAAGGCUAUGUUGGCCGGGCGACGGUUGUCCCGGUUUAAGCGUGUAGGCUGGUUUUCCAGGCAAAUCCGGAAAAUCAAGGCUGAGGCGUGAUGACGAGGCACUACGGUGCUGAAGCAACAAAUGCCCUGCUUCCAGGAAAAGCCUCUAAGCAUCAGGUAACAUCAAAUCGUACCCCAAACCGACACAGGUGGUCAGGUAGAGAAUACCAAGGCGCUUGAGAGAACUCGGGUGAAGGAACUAGGCAAAAUGGUGCCGUAACUUCGGGAGAAGGCACGCUGAUAUGUAGGUGAAGCGACUUGCUCGUGGAGCUGAAAUCAGUCGAAGAUACCAGCUGGCUGCAACUGUUUAUUAAAAACACAGCACUGUGCAAACACGAAAGUGGACGUAUACGGUGUGACGCCUGCCCGGUGCCGGAAGGUUAAUUGAUGGGGUUAGCGCAAGCGAAGCUCUUGAUCGAAGCCCCGGUAAACGGCGGCCGUAACUAUAACGGUCCUAAGGUAGCGAAAUUCCUUGUCGGGUAAGUUCCGACCUGCACGAAUGGCGUAAUGAUGGCCAGGCUGUCUCCACCCGAGACUCAGUGAAAUUGAACUCGCUGUGAAGAUGCAGUGUACCCGCGGCAAGACGGAAAGACCCCGUGAACCUUUACUAUAGCUUGACACUGAACAUUGAGCCUUGAUGUGUAGGAUAGGUGGGAGGCUUUGAAGUGUGGACGCCAGUCUGCAUGGAGCCGACCUUGAAAUACCACCCUUUAAUGUUUGAUGUUCUAACGUUGACCCGUAAUCCGGGUUGCGGACAGUGUCUGGUGGGUAGUUUGACUGGGGCGGUCUCCUCCUAAAGAGUAACGGAGGAGCACGAAGGUUGGCUAAUCCUGGUCGGACAUCAGGAGGUUAGUGCAAUGGCAUAAGCCAGCUUGACUGCGAGCGUGACGGCGCGAGCAGGUGCGAAAGCAGGUCAUAGUGAUCCGGUGGUUCUGAAUGGAAGGGCCAUCGCUCAACGGAUAAAAGGUACUCCGGGGAUAACAGGCUGAUACCGCCCAAGAGUUCAUAUCGACGGCGGUGUUUGGCACCUCGAUGUCGGCUCAUCACAUCCUGGGGCUGAAGUAGGUCCCAAGGGUAUGGCUGUUCGCCAUUUAAAGUGGUACGCGAGCUGGGUUUAGAACGUCGUGAGACAGUUCGGUCCCUAUCUGCCGUGGGCGCUGGAGAACUGAGGGGGGCUGCUCCUAGUACGAGAGGACCGGAGUGGACGCAUCACUGGUGUUCGGGUUGUCAUGCCAAUGGCACUGCCCGGUAGCUAAAUGCGGAAGAGAUAAGUGCUGAAAGCAUCUAAGCACGAAACUUGCCCCGAGAUGAGUUCUCCCUGACUCCUUGAGAGUCCUGAAGGAACGUUGAAGACGACGACGUUGAUAGGCCGGGUGUGUAAGCGCAGCGAUGCGUUGAGCUAACCGGUACUAAUGAACCGUGAGGCUUAACCUUACAACGCCGAAG
rnacentral:rRNA from 1 species